rnacentral:rRNA from 1 species
UACGAAGGGGGCGAGCGUUGUUCGGAAUUACUGGCGUAAAGGGCGCGUAGGCGGCGAACCAAGUCAGAUGUGAAAGUCCUGGGCUUAACCUGGGGACUGCAUUUGAUACUGGUUUGCUUGAAUUCGGGAGAGGAUAGCGGAAUUCCCAGUGUAGAGGUGAAAUUCGUAGAUAUUGGGAAGAACACCGGUGGCGAAGGCGGCUAUCUGGACCGACAUUGACGCUGAGGUGCGAAAGCGUGGGGAGCAAACAGG